GCACAUUCCAGCCAAUCAGCAGCAGACCCUCCCUCCCAGACCCUCCCACCUCCUGGACAGCAUCCAUUUUACAUUCAUUGUGAAGCUGCAUUCUUAGUGAGCUGUCCAGGAGGUGGGAGGGUCUGGGAGGGAGGGUCUGCUGCUGAUUGGCUGAUCUUUUCAU